AACACGUUGGAGUCAUGGGCAUACAUCCCUAUCAGAGGAUGAGAAGGAAUUUUGGACUUGGAGUUGGGAAGAGUUGGCUCUGUACGAUCUUGCAGAAAUGAUUAACUACAUACAUUCAUUGACAAACAGGAAAAUUUAUGUUGUUGGACACUCACAGGGAACAAUCAUGUCUUUUGCUGCUCUGACCCAGCCAGACAUAGCCAAGAAAGUUG
rnacentral:misc_RNA from 1 species